rnacentral:rRNA from 1 species
GUGUCAGCCGCCGCGGUAAGACAGAGGUGGCAAGCGUUGUUCGGUGUCACUGGGCUUAAAGGGUGCGUAGGCGGAUGAGCAAGCGCGUUGUGAAAUACCCCGGCUUAACCGGGGAACGGCUUCGCGUACUACUCGUCUUGAGGCAGGUAUGGGUGCGGGGAACUGUUAGUGGAGCGGUGGAAUGCGUAGAUAUUAACAGGAACGCCGGCGGUGAAGACGCCGCACUGGGCCUGAACUGACGCUGAUGCACGAAAGCGUGGGGAUCGAACGGGAUUAGAUACCCGCGUAGUCC